ACGCUCCGCUCGCCCUGGCCAGACCACCAGCUUUCCAGUGUCUCUCGAUCUUGAUGGCGGUCUUGGUUUGCUUUCUCUCUCUCUAACACAACCUUCUUCCGUGUGCUUAGCAGACGCGUCCAGCUAGCGCGGCUCAGAUGCUUCGCGACGACAAUUUCUUGGAGAUGGAAUGAUGGAAAGCAGGCCGAAAGCGCGAAUGCGUGGCUCGCUUUACCUUUCGCCGCUUCGAUUCUCUUCCAACUCCCCCUCGUCGUCGUAGGAGUAUUUAACUUCACCGACGGCAGGAGAGGAACCCCGGCCCGAUCAAACUCCUGCACCGAUCGCCCCCCACGCUUUCAUUCGAGCCGGCGAUCAGCAGCUCCGCGCACGCCACCAAGAAACAACGCCGCCGCUCCCGCUACGAACACCAGCUAACUCCAUCGUCUUCCCCUUGCAGCUCGGCCGCGUCGCCGUCGCGUAGUAUACCCGAGCACGCGCGGCCGCGGAUCAGGCGCGCCGAUGGAGCUGGUGCUGGUGAUCUCGCUGCCGCUGGUGGCCCUCGUCAUCAUCGUCGCCAUCAUCCUCUGCAUCAUCUGCCGCUGAUCGCACCACCGCGCACGCCAUGCGGGCGUUCGCCGUCGCCCGUUCCGUUCACCCGCACACCCGAUUGUUUUUUUGUAACCACAGCAUAAGUAGCGUUCGUGCGUGAGUGUGUAUCCACUGGCGUCGGUGGUCUGGUGUGGAUUGUGAUUGGAGUAUUGAUUUAGUUUUGGACCUCUCCUGUCUUUUUCCUCCCUUUUUCUCUCUCUAUCUACUCCGACUCCAAACGCAUCAUCAGACGCACCAUCGUGUUCACUAGCGUGUCUUCGUAACGAAGGAACCAACCAGAGCCUUCUCGAGCUUUGGAUUGGAGUUUUUUGAUCUGGCCACAGAGAUGAGCACAGUACUCAGUGCUAUGCUAGUAUGCUGUAAUAAGCUUGUGAUCUCGGAUGAGUGACGUGAUGGCCAAUUAGUCAAUUCACCGAGGAGGAUCAGAUCAGCUCGCUAUAGCUGGCCUCGCUUCACUCUCACUGUCAAGCAAGCGCCGUCCAGCGGUUCAGGCGCCCGGCCUACGGCUGGCGCGGCGCGUGGCACGCGUUUUUCCGCUUGGGGUUUUCUUCCUCCCCCGACCGAUUAAUUUAACGCGCUCCCACUCCCACGGUCCCACCCCACCCAGAGCUGCAUAUUCUCGGCCAUCGCCUUCUCCCCGUCUCGUCUCUCUGGCUGUCUGGCAUCUCGCCCCGUUCUUCCUCCCCGUCACCGCGCGCUGUCGCCUCCGCCCCCCAGCUCGCGUCUCCGGCAAGAUCAGCUCGAUCCGCGCAGGGAGACCGGAUGGAGUUCGUGCUGAUCAUUUCGCUGCCGCUCCUCAUCCUGAUCAUCAUCGUCGCCGUGGUCCUCUGCAUCGUCUGCCGUUAGCCCGAGUGCUCACGAAGAAACAUCCAUCUCCGCUGUGAUCACACCAUGUGUAAUGAACUUUUGUACAUCAUGACCAGAUAAAAACCUCUUUCUCUGCGUUGCCGCGUGAUUAAUCGGCUGUAGCUCUAUCAUUUAUUUUUUCAUUCCCUGAGUGCAAAAAAGGGCUUCGAUUCUGCGUGUCAGGCUGAUACAUAACGGACAUGCUGCAAGUCUGGGCUGGACCUGGACGGCGGGGGGAUUGGGGUUCCUUGCCGUGCUCUUUCGGUUCUUCCGCUGCAUCUUUCCAGGUCAGAAAUGUUCUUGAGGAGAUCUGACUCGAGACGAAUCUGGGAUGCGCGGGCGUCUACCUGCGCUUUGUACUCUUUGUCGUGCCGCCCCACGAGGGCAAAAAGGCGUAACGGAACCCUCUUUUCCAGGGAGAACACGCAAAGAGAGGCCACCGGUCGAAUCGAAAAGAGGAACAGGUGCGCUCCCCCUGUUGGACACGCCCUUGAUCUCACACCUUUCGUGUGAUGAUCCACGUCAGUCAUCCAACAACGCGUCGCCGACACUUCUGUGACAGAUGCCAGGCAGGUACUCAAGGCAUCUUAGAAACUCCUGGUCUGCUGAGCUAGGCUGCCACCUGGGCAUAUGCUGCUGGAUGUGAUGACUAUCCGGAACUGCAAAAAGAGCACAAAGGCCAUCCAUGUUACAUUCAGACAAGAUCUUGGAAGCAGGAACAGGGAGGGGCUGAAAACUCCUCCGUUUCUGGGUUGCGCAAAGGAAAUGCUUCUCCUGGGAUUACACAAACCCACAACAGAAGAAACGGCACACCUGUCUAUCUACUGUUCUUUACACGGAGGCGUCGAAGAUGACACGCCUAUUCAACAACAGAAAACUAUCUGUGAUCAUGAGGUCCACCUUUCACAUAUCAGCUAGUGUCACUUUUGAAACCAACAUCUGAACAAACCAAUGGAAGGGAUCUGGUUCCCUGUCUUCGGGUCUUUCAGGAGGAGUUUCGCCGAGCCAUCACCCGACGUUUGAGAACCUUGGAGAUCAACAAGCAGAGGAUGCACGAACUAAAUGGCAAACACUUGCUGCAAACCUGAAACAAGAUGUAUGAAAACGAUCAAUGCCAGAAGGCCUGCAGUACUUAGCAAGUUACUGUUGGUAUUUCAGAGGUUAUCUGAUUUUAGGUAGUAUUACACAAACACUAAGAAGAUUUGAAACAAAUAACAAUCUAUAGAAAAUACGAGAGAGUAUGUUAACCCCUCCUGUUGACAUCUUCUAAAGGAGACAAAUCAGAAACAGAACACAGUGACUUUGCAGUAUGGUGAAAUUUGGCAGUUGGCCAGGGUGCCAUUUACUGCUUCAAUGAUGUUAUGCUGGGCUGCUGUUUAGGUUCAAGAAGCCAAAGAAUGAGAGCACAGGAACCUGUGCUGCUUGAUUACUUAAAGACUCAUAACAACAUGACUAAAAAAUAAGACUAAACAGGUGUUAAUCAUGGUCAUCAGUUCAUCGUCUCAUGAGUUUGUGGCGCCAAUCUAAGAAAAUACAGAAGAAAACCCAAAAACCUCUUCUUCCACAUACAGAAGGCUCAUACAUAAUUAUAUGACACAGGAAAUGUCAACUUAUUGAUUUACCAGAAAUAAACUUUUUCUUAGUUAAUGUACAAUGGAAGAAAGGGUAUCCCUUUCGUUAAAUAACAUGAAGUGACAAGUUACCAAUAUUUGAUGUUUGAACCACCCAUUUUGGUUUGAAAAAUUAGGCUUUGCCAAGGUUACAAUACAACUUAACUUCAUUGGAGCAACAAAUCCCUAUUUUCAAAGGCCAGGAUCACUUACAUUUUCAUUUCAGAUAACAUACAGCUAAAGCAAAGCGUUUUCUUUCAUCCAUUUGUAAAAUGUGGGCUGAAAAGAGGUUAGUGAUCAAUGUUAGAACAUUAAAGGUACAAUUAAUAGUUUCAUCUCAGGACCUGCUCUACUUAUAUUCAAAAAUUAGGUGUGAUACAAAUUUCGGCAAUUAAAGCAGCUAAAACUGAGACACAAACUAGAUUUGUGAAGGGUAGCUCUGUUGAUUGUGAUAUGUCUGUUUGGCUUUGGUCAAAGUGAAUACAGUAUGGGGUAUAAGGAGCACAGAUCAACAGAUGAAUAAAAAUGAAAAUUAUUACCAGAUGCAAAACUGCCUAUGAAGCACAAUGCAUAACAAAUGCAAGCAAAAUGAUGGGGGCCAUAUGAAGCACUCCAAAUAUCUAACAGUCAUCUUAAAAACAUGUGUCAAACAGAAACAUUUUAUUACUCCAAGGUUCAGACAAACAAACCCAUCUUUAGAAGGAUACUUUGAUGAAUAGCUUAACAAAACAUGACCGAUAUAAAGCAGAUACCAAAUUCAGUGGGGCUCAAUAAUUGUUCUCCUAAAAAAAGGGUUCAAUAAUUGCACACUAAAGGAGUAGUGAAGAAACCAAUCCCGAUCCACCAACCAUACCAUUCCCAAAGUAUCUCCAUCCAAUGUCCUAGACUAAAUCUAUGUCCAAAUCUGAGGGCCCCCCAAAUAUCUAUCAAGUAUCUUCAGACAUACAUUUUUAUUCAUUAACUGCCAGCAAGCAAGGUACCAAAGCUAAAUUGUACCGAAGGCCCAAACCUGAUGCCACCAAGCAUCUCCAAGAGUUUGGCAUCCUUCAUUUUUUGGCAAAUGAAAAAAAAACAGCCUCCAACAAUUUGGCAACCAACUUAGCAUUUUUGGGAACUUGGCAAAUUCUUGGCGUUGGACGCGCAAAUAUGCGCGCGCGGAAACAAUUGGCAUCGCUCUCUCCGACCUCUCCGCGACUCUCGGCGCAGGCUUCUUCUCCCGCGUGAAACAGUCGGUCUUCUUCUCCCGCAGAAACAGACGCGGUCUUCUUUUCCCGCGCCCGCGAAGAACUCCAUCUGGACACCGCGACGAAUCAUCCUCGACGCCGCCGUGCUCUCUGUUUAGGGUUCAGGGUUCAGGGACCAGGAUUGGACAAGAUUUGGGCGAUUUAUUUAUUUACCAAACCAUGAUUGGAUUUGAAUUCCGAACUGAAGUUUUGCAAUCAACAUGUUGGGACUGAAACUUGUUCCUGUCCAGCUUGUUUGGGCGAGAUGAACUUGUUCCUGUCCAGCUGCUCGGAUUGGUACUGCUGCUGCUCGUGUGAUUGUUCUUGGGCUCUAGGCAGGACUUGGAUUUGGAUCUGUGGCUCGGCUGUGCCUGUGCCAGGCAUUUGGGGCCGCUAGCGUUAUGAUUUAUGUCCCGGAUGCUGAAUUUCAGAACCAUUUUCAGCCAUGAACCGGACUCGGACAUGGUUCUGAACCAUGACCUGAUGGUGCUGUUCGCAUUGAUUGACAAUGGGAUGCACUUGAGAUGAUGCUGCCCCAAUCUUCCUACAGAUUCAAUUGGAUUCCCAAUUUUGUAGUUCAUUAACCAGGGUGCUGAAUGCCUGCUUGUAUCCUUACAGCAGCUUCUCUUUGCUGGGGAGGUGUGGAUGCACAUGCACACAUUCUUCUUCUGAAUCCUAAUAAAAAUGUUAGUGUUCUGGUGUGCAAAUGGCAGUUUGCUGACUUGCUCAACUCCUAUGGAACAUGUCUGAUCCUAUAUGUAGCUCAGUUGAUGUUUAGGUUUUUUUUUUUGUUCUGAAAAGAACAUUUUCUAUAGUGCUUUCAUCUUUCAGCUUUUUUGUUCUGAAAAGAACAUUUUACAUGCCUGAUCUUUAUUCCAUUGCAAAAUAUCGACAUUUCAGGACUGGGAACAAAACAUUUGAGUGUUUGUUUGGAAUCCUGGUACUCUUUAGUCAAACUGCUAGGAAUAGAGUGAGUUCUGAUGUAGUGAUGUACAACCAUCCAUUUAAACAAAUGAGAACAUAGGAAUUAUGUACAGCUAAUAUAAAAAAUUGUGAUCUGUAUACACUGUCCAAUGCCAAAAAAAAAAA